rnacentral:rRNA from 1 species
UACGGAGGAUGCAAGCGUUAUCCGGAAUUAUUGGGCGUAAAGCGUCCGCAGGUGGUUGUUCAAGUCUGCUGUCAAAGCGCGGGGCUUAACUCCGUCAAGGCAGUGGAAACUGAGCGACUCGAGUACGGUAGGGGUCGCGGGAAUUCCCAGUGUAGCGGUGAAAUGCGUAGAGAUUGGGAAGAACACCAGCGGCGAAAGCGCGCGACUGGGCCGUUACUGACACUCAUGGACGAAAGCUAGGGGAGCGAAAGGG